rnacentral:rRNA from 1 species
AGAGUUUGAUCCUGGCUCAGAUUGAACGCUGGCGGCAUGCCUAACACAUGCAAGUCGAACGGCAGCAUAAUCUAGCUUGCUAGAUUGAUGGCGAGUGGCGGACGGGUGAGUAACGCGUAGGAAUAUACCUUGAAGAGGGGGAUAACUUGGGGAAACUCAAGCUAAUACCGCAUAAGCUCUGAGGAGUGAAGCUGGGGACCUUAGGGCCUGGCGCUUUGAGAUUAGCCUGCGUACGAUUAGCUAGUUGGCGGGGUAAGGGCCCACCAAGGCGACGAUCGUUAGCUGGUUUGAGAGAAUGGCCAGCCACACUGGAACUGAGACACGGUCCAGACUCCUACGGGAGGCAGCAGUGGGGAAUAUUGGACAAUGGGGGCAACCCUGAUCCAGCAAUGCCGCGUGUGUGAAGAAGGCCUGAGGGUUGUAAAGCACUUUCAGUGGGGAGGAGGAUUAUUAGGUUAAGAGCUAGAUAAUUGGACGUUACCCACAGAAGAAGCACCGGCUAACUCCGUGCCAGCAGCCGCGGUAAUACGGAGGGUGCGAGCGUUAAUCGGAAUUACUGGGCGUAAAGGGUGCGUAGGUGGUUAGAUAAGUUAUCUGUGAAAUCCCUGGGCUUAACCUGGGCAGGUCAGAUAAGACUGUUUGACUCGAGUAUGGGAGAGGGUAGUGGAAUUUCCGGUGUAGCGGUGAAAUGCGUAGAGAUCGGAAGGAACACCAGUGGCGAAGGCGGCUACCUGGCCUAAUACUGACACUGAGGCACGAAAGCGUGGGGAGCAAACAGGAUUAGAUACCCUGGUAGUCCACGCUGUAAACGAUGUCAACUAGCUGUUGGGUAUAUGAAUGUACUUAGUGGCGAAGCAAACGCGAUAAGUUGACCGCCUGGGGAGUA